rnacentral:rRNA from 1 species
UACGAACCGUACAAACGUUAUUCGGAAUCACUGGGCUUAAAGGGUGCGUAGGCGGCCUGCUGCGUCGGUGCUGAAAGCGCCCGGCUUAACCGGGCGAGGCGUGCCGAUACGAGCGGGCUGGAGCCUUGGCGAGGGUGGCGGAACUCCUGGUGUAGUGGUGAAAUGCGUAGAGAUCAGGAGGAACACCAGUGGCGAAGGCGGCGAUCUGGGUCGAUACUGACGCUGAGGUGCGAAAGCGUGGGGAGCAAACAGG